AUGGCUGAGGAAGGGGCCGGCAAGGCCGGCGGCUCUUCUUCCGCUAGUGAGAUCGCAAGGCUGAUGGAAGAACUAGGGCUUCAUGAGGACGAUCUGGAUGAUGUGAUCGUAGAUGAGGCUGCGGUUCCUCAAGAUGCAGCUCGUUGGAUGGCGGUGGCCAGAGUCCACAUAGACAAGACAUACAGCCAGACUUGGUUCUUCCGCAACAUGAGAUCGGCGUGGGAUCUAGCCCAGGUGGUGAACUUCAAACCCCUGGAACCGAAUCUGUAUACAUUACAGUUUCAUUGCUUGGCUGAUUGGGAACGAGUUAUGGAGGAAGGACCAUGGAAUUUCAGAGGACAUGCGGUGAUAAUUACGCCGUAUGAUGGGAUAACUCAGCCAUCAAAGGUUCAGCUGGAUGCUCUCAACAUCUGGAUUCAGAUACACGAUGUCCUGAAACUGUUUGCACAUCUGGUUCCAGCCCUAGCUGCCAAGGUAGGUGAGGUUCUACACACGGAGGGGGACUCUUAUGACUACACGGGAAACUUUUACCGUCUGUGGGUGAAAAUCAAUGUACACCGGCCCUUGAAGAACGCCGUGUCGUUGAUCCGAGAUGGACAGAGGCAGAUCUACCGUGUCAAGUAUAACGUUUGCCAGAUUGGUGUGCUGUGUGCGGACAUUUAG
rnacentral:rRNA from 1 species